rnacentral:rRNA from 1 species
CCUACGGGUGGCAGCAGUGAGGAAUAUUGGUCAAUGGGCGCGAGCCUGAACCAGCCAAGUAGCGUGAAGGAUGACUGCCCUACGGGUUGUAAACUUCUUUUAUAAAGGAAUAAAGUGAGGCACGUGUGCCUUUUUGUAUGUACUUUAUGAAUAAGGAUCGGCUAACUCCGUGCCAGCAGCCGCGGUAAUACGGAGGAUGCGAGCGUUAUCCGGAUUUAUUGGGUUUAAAGGGUGCGUAGGCGGUUUUUUAAGUCAGCGGUAAAAUUUGCGGGCUCAACCCGGGACGGCCGUUGAAACUGGGGGUCUUGAGUGGAGCAGAGGUAUGCGGAAUGCGUGGUGUAGCGGUGAAAUGCAUAGAUAUCACGAAGAACUCCGAUUGCGAAGGCAGCUUACCGGCGCCCGACUGACGCUGAGGCACGAAAGCGUGGGGAUCGAACAGGAUUAGAUACCCCAGUAGUC